GGAAGUAAAAGUCGUAACAAGGUUUCCGUAGGUGAACCUGCGGAAGGAUCAUUACCGAGUGAGGGCCCUCUGGGUCCAACCUCCCACCCGUGUUUAUUUUACCUUGUUGCUUCGGCGGGCCCGCCUUAACUGGCCGCCGGGGGGCUCACGCCCCCGGGCCCGCGCCCGCCGAAGACACCCUCGAACUCUGUCUGAAGAUUGUAGUCUGAGUGAAAAUAUAAAUUAUUUAAAACUUUCAACAACGGAUCUCUUGGUUCCGGCAUCGAUGAAGAACGCAGCGAAAUGCGAUACGUAAUGUGAAUUGCAAAUUCAGUGAAUCAUCGAGUCUUUGAACGCACAUUGCGCCCCCUGGUAUUCCGGGGGGCAUGCCUGUCCGAGCGUCAUUACUGCCCUCAAGCCCGGCUUGUGUGUUGGGCCCCGUCCUCCGAUCCCGGGGGACGGGCCCGAAAGGCAGCGGCGGCACCGCGUCCGGUCCUCGAGCGUAUGGGGCUUUGUCACCCGCUCUGUAGGCCCGGCCGGCGCUUGCCGAUCAACCCCAAUUUUUAUAGGUUGACCUCGGAUCAGGUAGGGAUACCCGCUGAACUUAAGCAUAUCAAUAAGCGGAGGA
rnacentral:misc_RNA from 1 species